GACUACCUGCCUCGACGACUGUUAAGUUGAUCAUGCUCCCAGUGAAUCUGGCGGUAGGCCUAACACAUUGCAAGUCGAACGGCAGCACAGAGGAGCUUGCUCCUUGGGUGGCGAGUGGCGGACGGGUGAGGAAUACAUCGGAAUCUACUCUGUCGUGGGGGAUAACGUAGGGAAACUUACGCUAAUACCGCAUACGACCUACGGGUGAAAGCAGGGGAUCUUCGGACCUUGCGCGAUUGAAUGAGCCGAUGUCGGAUUAGCUAGUUGGCGGGGU
rnacentral:rRNA from 1 species